rnacentral:rRNA from 1 species
UACGAAGGGGGCUAGCGUUGCUCGGAAUCACUGGGCGUAAAGCGCACGUAGGCGGAUUGUUAAGUCAGGGGUGAAAUCCUGGAGCUCAACUCCAGAACUGCCUUUGAUACUGGCGAUCUUGAGUCCGGGAGAGGUGAGUGGAACUGCGAGUGUAGAGGUGAAAUUCGUAGAUAUUCGCAAGAACACCAGUGGCGAAGGCGGACUCACUGGCCCGGUACUGACGCUGAGGUGCGAAAGCGUGGG